rnacentral:tRNA from 1 species
GCCGACUUAGCAGAAGUUUAAUGUUUGUGACUUAGGAUCACGAGGUGUAGUUAUUUACAGUUGGUA